GUGUGAAACGUGAGGCACAGAACCCUCCUGGAAAGCACACAGGAAGCAGCCCCACUUCAUAACAAGCACGGACACAUCCCAGCCCUGGUCUAGUUCUGCAUGGCUAAUAAUCCUGCUCACCUCCCCACAACGCCUCCUGGAGGAAGGCCCUAUUCUCAUUCCUGUUUUGCAGGUGAGACAUGAAGGCACACAGAGCAUCGGUUAAUAAGCGCAGGGCUGAGCCCCAACCCCUGCACUGUGGUUCCAGGAUGUGUGUUUUGAUCCACCACACUGGGGCCAGGUCCCCACACAUGGGAAGAGCUGGCCACAGGAAGAAGGUGUGGUGUCCCAGGUGGCCUGAGCAGCAGGGGAAGGAAGGAGCAAGGUCCACUGAGGAAUCCCACAGGGCAUGGGGUGUGUGCACUGCGCCAUACCUUCCCGGUCCCCCUGAUUCUCUAUUGGGUCGUGGAAGAGAAGGCUUUCUGGAUCAUUUCCCUGUUCGGGAGUGGUGUGAAUGUUCAGUUCCUGGCCGUGCUAGGUCACUGCCCAGUGGGAAUUUCUCCAGGUCUGGCAAUGUCCCCUGCCUAUGGUGGCCACAGUGCCCGGAGCUUGGUGGUGUGCUGGCAGUUGACUCUGCGUUUCCCCACUGUGGUUCCUCCCCACACCCUGCCCACAGCGCUUCCUCUCUCCCCCACUCAGGUGAGCAUGAGUGUUUUGAGGGAUCCGGUGAGCCCCGGGCACAAACCCAGUGGCAGUUGGGUGGCAACCUGCUUAGUGUUCUGUGAGCACCAGCAGCUGAGAGGCUGUUUCACUUUCUUGGGGACGUCCUCUGCCCGUGUGGAGACUGAGACGAGUCCCCUUCCUGACCCUCGGCAGGCAGGAUUUCCCCAGCCUCUGUUUGUCUCCCUGGGGCUUUCUUGGGCCUCUGAAAACAUCGCAUCCCUGGCUGGGUAUGGGCGGAGGAUGCCAGAUAGCUUCUGAAUUCUUUGAAAUCUCUAAACAUCUAAAAUAAUAAUAAUAAGCCUGGUGGGUAGGUGUGAGAAGCUCUUUAAAAUGUGGCCCAUUUCCCCACAAAGCUUAAAUUAGAACUCUUCAGGGGAAAUUGAAUGAAAGUAUCAAAAUAUGUAAAUGUUCUUCCUCCUACAAAACAGGAAUUAGUGUUACAGGCACCCCCACCCCAGAAAGCAGUCCCCCCUCUCCGGGGCUCUGGGCUUUAGCCAGCAUGGAUUCUGACCUUGACCCUUGAUAUCCCGUGCUGCCCCAGGGGGUCCCAAUACUUCUCUGAUGAAUCCAACAAGCCUGUUUCUACAUUUAUUUCCCUGCUUGCCUUUCUACUGUGGAAUUUUUGGAAGUCCAGUUUCUUUUGAAAAGUGCACAAAAUCCUGGGAGAUGUGGCUCACUGAGAAAGCCAGGGCCAGGGCCAAUGGGCCUCAGUGCAGAGCUGUACACUCGGAGGGACAGGUGGCCCAGUUAAGUCCCGCUUUUGGCACUUUCUGUCUGUGGACGCAGGGCCAGUUCCAUCUCCCGAGCUUUACUUUGCUCAUCUGUAAAAUGGGUCGUGAGGCUUGAACUGAAGCACGAUACGUCCUGGAAGCUGCUCCAUCACAGAGUGGCGGGGUGGGGCCGGUGCCUGUCCCUUGGUGCUGCAGCUCUGGUCUGGGGCUCCUCUCCGGAUCUUGUGGCCAUCGAGGGGCUCUGAAGCUGCAAGCACAACUCAUGUCCAGGAGGUGAACCUGACCGUCCGAGGUAACCUUCGUCCAUUUAGUCGUGGCCCUGGGAUUCCACCUGGGGCCCGGGUUCUGGUGUGGGAGCUCGUACCUUCUCAUCCCCUGUGUUCUUCCUCACGGCCACUGGGUCCUUUACUCAGGCUCAGAACAUCUCUGGCAUCCAGUGCCAGUGGGCAGCCUUUCUGGCAGCCCAUGCCACUGUCCCUUGCUUGAGUUGGUACUUUGCAGACAGUACCGGGGUCCAGGGCCCUGAUUCUGGGAAUGACUCCUUUACAUUUCCAUUAGGCUUUGUGAUCCUCAGGGAGCAAGAGAGAAUCCCAAAACCGAGGGGAGAAGAGUGAGCAGGGAGCUGAGGGGGGUGGGUGCUGGCCCUGGGUGGCUGCCCCUCUACUGGGCCAUGAGGUACUGUCCCACUCUGGUCCCGUUCUGCUGCUUCCCCAGGGGUUCUUCACACCCUCAGCCUCUGUGGUCCCUUCCCCAACUCCUGGGAAAGCAAAGGAGUGACCUCGUUGGUGCUGACCCUUGGUCCCAUUUCUCCUUCAGUUAAUAUGAGAAAAAUUGUGAGGAGGAAGGGGCAAGGGACCUGGGAGCGGUGUAGGGAGAGGCCACCUGGCCUCUUCCUUUCCUCUGCACACCAGGUCCAGGCCGCAGCCUGGGGAGGCAUAUUUGCCCUGCAGAUUCAGACUGAGCUCCUGGAAAAGAAUUUAUUUGGGCCCCAUUAAUGACCUUGAUAAUUAAUUAUCUGGGCAGUUUUAAAGAUCUGUGGAGUGGGAACGCCUGUUCCAGAGAACCGUGAUGAAUUAGAUGGACACGUAUCCAGAACACAUAGAAACGGUACAGUACGUAUGCACACCCGCAUGUCCUGGGAGUGGGAAAGUCAGGAGGAGGCAUUGCAAGUACACAGUUGUCCUACAGGCACACAAAUUCACAUUGUAUUCUGUUGACUUGCCUUCCCUUAAUCUAAGGCAAAUGCUGAAGAAAUAUAAUUGAAAAACUUCCCAAAGAGAAAAAUGAUGUGGGCAACAUUUGGGUUUCCAAAUUUCCAAUUUAUGGGUGUGAACCCGUUAUCUACUUUGGAUGAGAUCAAAGGGUCAUGUUCUCAUAGGGCUUCUUUUUGAAUGAUGGAUUUCUCAUCCUUUCUUCACCCGAGUUUUCUACACAUUAUUUGUGUGAUGUUGUCCCAGGGAUUUAGUCCUUUGGGGCUUCACCUGACAAUCAAAAGGUUAGAAUCAAACCAUCCCAGUCCUUGCAGCACAGAAGUGCCAUGAAUGCUCCGGGUCCCUUGCAGCACUGUGGGUGGUGGCAGGGUCUUGGAAAGAGACUGUCAGCAGAGGGAGAGACUGUCUACCACUCACCUCUGCUUGGUGGUGACCAGCCAGUUCCUGAAGAGCAGGAGGCACCUCCUGGUGGUCUUGGGGCCUGGGGUCAACACCACAGGGCUCUGGAGGCCAGGCAUGGCAUGCUCGUAGGGCAGGGUCUCUGCGGACUCCUGGCUUCUCCUGGGGGGAGAGUUGGGGGUCAGUCUCUGUGGGUAACUCAGUGGAAGCCAGCACACACAGACAAAUCCAGGAUGGAUGCAGCAAGACACCGCUCCUGUUUGGCUCCACCAGGUGGAGAUUAGCAGGGGAGAGAGC
rnacentral:lncRNA from 1 species